GACGAACGCUGGCGGCGUGCUUAACACAUGCAAGUCGAACGGUGAUGGCCAGCUUGCUGGUCUGAUCAGUGGCGAACGGGUGAGUAACACGUGAGCAACCUGCCCUAGACUCUGGAAUAACCAUGGGAAACGAUGGCUAAUACCGGAUACGAGACGCACACGCAUGUGUGGCGUCUGGAAAGAUUUAUCGGUCUGGGAUGGGCUCGCGGCCUAUCAGCUUGUUGGUGGGGUAGUGGCCUACCAAGGCGACGACGGGUAGCCGGCCUGAGAGGGCGACCGGCCACACUGGGACUGAGAUACGGCCCAG
rnacentral:rRNA from 1 species